AUGAUUCUUACUGUGGGCUUUAGCUUUUUGUUUUUCUACAGGGGCACGCUGUGUGACAAAGUAACCCAGAGUUCCCCGGACCAGACGGUGGCGAGUGGCAGUGAGGUGGUACUGCUCUGCACUUACGACACUGUAUAUUCAAAUCCAGAUUUAUUCUGGUACCGGAUAAGGCCAGAUUAUUCCUUUCAGUUUGUCUUUUAUGGGGAUAACAGCAGAUCAGAAGGUGCAGAUUUUACUCAAGGACGGUUUUCUGUGAAACACAUUCUGACCCAGAAAGCCUUUCACUUGGUGAUCUCUCCAGUAAGGACUGAAGACAGUGCCACUUACUACUGUGCCUUUAG